GACAGAGGCCUCGAGCGUUAGGCGGAAUCACUGGGCUUAAAGCGUGUGUAGGCGGGCCCGUAAGUGUCUUGUGAAAUCCCACGGCUCAACCGUGGAACUGCUGGGCAUACUGCGGGUCUUGGGCCAACUAGGGGCAGCCGGAACAAGCGGUGGAGCGGUGAAAUGCGUAGAUAUCGAGAGGAACACCUGCGGCGAAGGCGGGUUGCUGGGCCGACACUGACGCUGAUGCGCGAAAGCCAGGGGAGCGAACGGG
rnacentral:rRNA from 1 species